rnacentral:rRNA from 1 species
UACGUAGGGUGCAAGCGUUGUCCGGAAUUAUUGGGCGUAAAGAGCUCGUAGGCGGUUUGUCGCGUCGAAUGUGAAAACCCGGGGCUCAACCUCGGGCCUGCAGUCGAUACGGGCAAACUAGAGUACUGCAGGGGAGACUGGAAUUCCUGGUGUAGCGGUGAAAUGCGCAGAUAUCAGGAGGAACACCGGUGGCGAAGGCGGGUCUCU